GUCACUUUGCCGGAGUGGUUAACGGGAUCGCCUGCUAUUACUGCUUAGUCAGCGGUUGGACUUUGUCCGCGUGUGUUCGAAUCGCACAGGUGACG